GACGAACGCUGGCGGCGUGCUUAACAGAUGCAAGUCGAACGAUGAAGCCGGAGCUUGCUCUGGUGAAUUAGUGGCGAACGGGUGAGUAACACGUGAGUAACCUGCCCUUGACUCUGGGAUAACUGCGGGAAACCGUAGCUAAUACCGGAUACGACCCUCGGCGGCAUCGCCAGGGGGUGGAAAGAAUUUCGGUCAAGGAUGGACUCGCGGCCUAUCAGCUAGUUGGUGAGGUAACGGCUCACCAAGGCGACGACGGGUAGCCGGCCUGAGGGGUGACCGGCCACACUGGGACUGAGACACGGCCCAGACUCCUACGGGAGGCAGCAGUGGGGAAUAUUGCACAAUGGGCGCAAGCCUGAUGCAGCAACGCCGCGUGAGGGAUGACGGCCUUCGGGUUGUAAACCUCUUUUAGUAGGGAAGAAGCGAAAGUGACGGUACCUGCAGAAAAAGCACCGGCUAACUACGUGCCAGCCGCCGCAGUAA
rnacentral:rRNA from 1 species